CAGCAGCCGCGGUAAUACGGAGGGUCCGAGCGUUAAUCGGAAUUACUGGGCGUAAAGCGCGCGUAGGCGGCUUGUUAAGUCAGAUGUGAAAGCCCUGGGCUCAACCUGGGAACUGCAUUUGAUACUGGCCAGCUAGAGUAUGGGAGAGGACAGUGGAAUUUCUAGUGUAGCGGUGAAAUGCGUAGAUAUUAGAAGGAACACCAGUGGCGAAGGCGACUGUCUGGCCCAAUACUGACGCUGAGGUGCGAAAGCGUGGGGAGCAAACAGGAUUAGAUA
rnacentral:rRNA from 1 species